CUCUGCCUGGCUCCCUGUAUGCCAUCUGGGGGGGAUUUAUCAGCUGACGAUGAUAAGCUCCAUAGCUGGCUUACGGGGAGCCACGCAGAG
rfam:Selaginella moellendorffii unplaced genomic scaffold SELMOscaffold_40, whole genome shotgun sequence.